AGCAGCCGCGGUAAUUCCAGCUCCAAUAGCGUAUAUUAAAGUUGUUGCAGUUAAAAAGCUCGUAGUUGAAUUUCGGGAUCAAUACGUCGGUCGUGCUUAGGUACGUACUGGCGUCAUUGAUUUCUCCCUUCUGACGAACCAUGAUGUCAUUAAUUUGGUGUUAUGGGAAAUCAGGACUGUUACUUUGAAAAAUUAGAGUGUUUAAAGCAGGCUCACGCUUGAAUACAUUAGCAUGGAAUAAUGAAAUAGGACGUUCGGUCCUAUUUUGUUGGUUUUAGGAUCAACGUAAUGAUUAAUAGGGAUAGUUGGGGCAUUAGUAUUCAAUUGUCAGAGGUGAAAUUCUUGGAUUUAUUGAAGACUAACUACUGCGAAAGCAUUUGCCAAGGAUGUUUUCAUUAAUCUAAGAACGAAAGUUAGGGGAUCGAAGACGAUCAGAUACCGUCGUAGUCUUAACCAUAAACUAUAGACCGACUAGGGAUCGGAUGAUGUUAAUUUUUAAUGUACUCUAUUCGGCG
rnacentral:rRNA from 1 species